rnacentral:rRNA from 1 species
ACCCCUGGCGGGGAGUGAAAGAGACCUGAACCCGUGUGCCUACAAGCGAUCGGAGCAUGGCCGGCAUUUUCGGAUGCUGGGGUAUGUGACGGUAUGCCUUUUGUAAAAUGAGCCGGCGAGUUAUUGUGCGUAGCGAGGUUAAGGACUGCGAGGUCUGUAGCCGCAGGGAAACCGAGUCUGAACAGGGCGCAAGUUUCGUACAAUGGACCCGAAGCCCGACGAUCUAUCCAUGUCCAGGUUGAAGCCCCGGUGAAGCGGGGUGGAGGACCGAACCGAAGCCUGUUGAAAAAGUCUCGGAUGAGGUGUGGAUAGGAGUGAAAAGCUAAUCGAGUUGGGUGAUAGCUGGUUCUCCCCGAAAUGCAUUUAGGUGCAGCCCUGAAUGUUUAGUGAUGGGGGUAGAGCGCUGAAUGGACGCGGGCGGUUGUGACCGUACCAAAUCCAAUCAAACUGCGAAUACCAUUACUUAAGAGUUCAGGAGUGAGACUGCGGGAGAGAAGUUUCGUAGUCGAGAGGGAAAGAGCCCAGACCCACAGCUAAGGUCCCAAAGACAUGCUGAGUGUGGCAAGGAUGUGACGAUGCCUGGACAGCCAGGAGGUUGGCUUAGAAGCAGCCACCCUUUAAAGAGUGCGUAAUAGCUCACUGGUCGAGGAUUGUUGCGCCGAAAAUACAGGGGGCUAAGCAUGUCACCGAAGCUUGGGGAUUGGAUUUGAGUCCGAAUCGGUAGGGGAGCGUUCCAUGUAGGGAGAAGUCAAACCGGCGAGGUUUGGUGGACAGCAUGGAAGUGAGAAUGCCGGCAUGAGUAACGCGAAGUGUGUGAGAAUCACACUCACCGGAAGUCCAAGGGUUCCUGGGGAAGGUUGAUCCGCCCAGGGUAAGGCGGGGCCUAAGGUAAGGCCGAGAGGCGUAGCUGAUGGACAACAGGUUGCUAAUCCUGUCCCGCGAAGCGGUUGAUUGACGAUGGAGUGACGCAGGAAGCUAGGUGCGCCGGCGGAUGGAAUAGCCGGUCUAAGGGCGAAGCCUGGACGGGGAGGCAAAUCCCCCUGUUUAUAGGUGAGACCUGAUGGGGAGUUUUCAGAGAUGGAGACGAAGGCAUUGACGCUCUACUGCCGGGAAAAGCUUCUAAGGAGACUGCUCGCGCCCGUACCCGAAACCGACACAGGUGGACUGGCUGAGAAGGCUAAGGUGAGCGGGAGAACUAUCGUUAAGGAACUCUGCAAGUUGACCCCGUAACCUAGGGAGAAGGGGUGCCACAAGGGUGAAGAAGGACAUUUGGAGCCCGAAGUGGUCGCAGAAACCAGGCACAGGCGACUGUUUACUAAAAACACAGGACUCUGCAUAAGGCGUAAGCCGAAGUAUAGGGUCUGACACCUGCCCGGUGCUGGAAGGUUAACUGGAGGGGUUAGUGCCGCGAGGUGCGAAGCUCUGAAAUGAAGCCCCAGUAAACGGCGGCCGUAACUAUAACGGUCCUAAGGUAGCGAAAUUCCUUGUCGGGUAAGUUCCGACCUGCACGAAAGGUGUAACGAUCUGUGCGCUGUCUCGACGGUAGGCCCGGUGAAAUUGUGGUCCUGGUAAAGACGCCAGGUACCCGUGGUGGGACGGAAAGACCCCAUGGAGCUUUACUGUAACUUGGUAUUGGAUUUUGUCCUAUGAUGCACAGGAUAGGUGGGAGGCAUUGAUGCGGUUAUUUCGGUGACCGAGGAGCCGUUGUUGGGAUACCACCCUUUGUAUGAUGAAAUUCUAACCCUUUAGCGUUGAAGCACGCGAGGGGACAUUGCCAGGCGGGCAGUUUGACUGGGGCGGUCGCCUCCCAAAGAGUAACGGAGGCGCGCAAAGGUCACCUCAGGGCGAAUGGAAACCGCCCUAAGAGAGCGUAAGCGUAUAAGGUGGCUUGACUGCGAGACUGACGAGUCGAGCAGGGACGAAAGUCGGUGCUAGUGAUCCGGUGGUUCCGAAUGGAAGGGCCAUCGCUCAACGGAUAAAAGCUACCCUGGGGAUAACAGGCUGAUCUCGCCCGAGAGUUCCUAUCGACGGCGUGGUUUGGCACCUCGAUGUCGGCUCAUCGCAUCCUGGGGCUGAAGCAGGUCCCAAGGGUUGGUCUGUUCGCCCAUUAAAGCGGUACGUGAGCUGGGUUUAGAACGUCGUGAGACAGUUCGGUCCCUAUCCACCAUGGGCGUGAGGUAUUUGAGGAGA